GACGAACGCUGGCGGCGUGCUUAACACAUGCAAGUCGAACGAAGUGGCGAACGGGUGAGUAACGCGUAAUCAACCUGCCGUUCAGAGGGGGACAACAGUUGGAAACGACUGCUAAUACCGCAUACUGAAGGAGGGGAUUGCGUUUGAUUAGCUAGUUGGGGGGGUAACGGCCCACCAAGGCGAUGAUCAGUAGCCGGUCUGGGAGGAGGAACGGCCACAAUGGGACUGGGAAACGGGCCAGACUCCUACGGGAAGGAGCAGUGGGGAAUCUUCCGAAAUGGACGAAAGUCUGACGGAGCAAAGCCGCGUGAGAGAUGACGGGCUUCGGGUUGUAAAGCUAUGUUAAUCGGGACGCGGUACCGGAAUAGAAAGCAACGGCUAACUACGUGCCAGCAGCCGCGGUAAUUC
rnacentral:rRNA from 1 species